AGAGCGAACGCUGGCGGCAGGCUUAACACAUGCAAGUCGAGCGGGCGUAGCAAUACGUCAGCGGCAGACGGGUGAGUAACGCGUGGGAACAUACCUUUUGGUUCGGAACAACACAGGGAAACUUGUGCUAAUACCGGAUAAGCCCUUACGGGGAAAGAUUUAUCGCCGAAAGAUUGGCCCGCGUCUGAUUAGCUAGUUGGUGAGGUAACGGCUCACCAAGGCGACGAUCAGUAGCUGGUCUGAGAGGAUGAUCAGCCACAUUGGGACUGAGACACGGCCCAAACUCCUACGGGAGGCAGCAGUGGGAAUAUUGGACAAUGGGCGCAAGCCUGAUCCAGCCAUGCCGCGUGAGUGAUGAAGGCCCUAGGGUUGUAAAGCUCUUUUGUGCGGGAAGAUAAUGACGGUACCGCAAGAAUAAGCCCCGGCUAAACUUCGUGCCAGCAGCCGC
rnacentral:rRNA from 1 species